UGGGGAAUUUUGGACAAUGGGGGAAACCCUGAUCCAGCCAUCCCGCGUGUGCGAUGAAGGCCUUCGGGUUGUAAAGCACUUUUGGCAGGAAAGAAACGUCGCGGGUUAAUACCCCGCGAAACUGACGGUACCUGCAGAAUAAGCACCGGCUAACUACGUGCCAGCAGCCGCGGUAAUACGUAGGGUGCAAGCGUUAAUCGGAAUUACUGGGCGUAAAGCGUGCGCAGGCGGUUCGGAAAGAAAGAUGUGAAAUCCCAGAGCUUAAACUUUGGAACUGCAUUUUUAACUACCGGGCUAGAGUGUGUCAGAGGGAGGUGGAAUUCCGCGUGUAGCAGUGAAAAUGCGUAGAUAUGCGGAGGAACACCGAUGGCGAAGGCAGCCUCCUGGGAUAACACUGACGCUCAUGCACGGAAGCGUGGGGAGCAAAACAGGAUUAGAUACCCUGGUAGUCCACGCCCUAAAACGAUGUCAAACUAGCUGUUGGGGGCCUUCGGGCCUUGGUAGCGCAGCUAACGCGUGAAGUUGACCG
rnacentral:rRNA from 1 species